GGGUUGUGAGGUUAAGCGACUAAGCGUACACGGUGGAUGCCCUGGCAGUCAGAGGCGAUGAAGGGCGUGCUAAUCUGCGAUAAGCGCCGGUAAGGUGAUAUGAACCGUUAUAACCGGCGAUACCCGAAUGGGGAAACCCAGUGUGAUUCGUCACACUAUCAUUAACUGAAUCCAUAGGUUAAUGAGGCGAACCGGGGGAACUGAAACAUCUAAGUACCCCGAGGAAAAGAAAUCAACCGAGAUUCCCCCAGUAGCGGCGAGCGAACGGGGAGGAGCCCAGAGCCUGAAUCAGCAUGUGUGUUAGUGGAAGCGUCUGGAAAGGCGCGCGAUACAGGGUGACAGCCCCGUACACAAAAGCGCAUGUGCUGUGAGCUCGAUGAGUAGGGCGGGACACGUGGUAUCCUGUCUGAAUAUGGGGGGACCAUCCUCCAAGGCUAAAUACUCCUGACUGACCGAUAGUGAACCAGUACCGUGAGGGAAAGGCGAAAAGAACCCCGGCGAGGGGAGUGAAAAAGAACCUGAAACCGUGUACGUACAAGCAGUGGGAGCACCCUUCGGGGUGUGACUGCGUACCUUUUGUAUAAUGGGUCAGCGACUUAUAUUCUGUAGCAAGGUUAACCGUAUAGGGGAGCCGGAGGGAAACCGAGUCUUAAUUGGGCGUUAAGUUGCAGGGUAUAGACCCGAAACCCGGUGAUCUAGCCAUGGGCAGGUUGAAGGUUGGGUAACACUAACUGGAGGACCGAACCGACUAAUGUUGAAAAAUUAGCGGAUGACCUGUGGCUGGGGGUGAAAGGCCAAUCAAACCGGGAGAUAGCUGGUUCUCCCCGAAAGCUAUUUAGGUAGCGCCUCGUGAAUUCAUCUCCGGGGGUAGAGCACUGUUUCGGCUAGGGGGCCAUCCCGGCUUACCAACCCGAUGCAAACUGCGAAUACCGGAGAAUGUUAUCACGGGAGACACACGGCGGGUGCUAACGUCCGUCGUGAAGAGGGAAACAACCCAGACCGCCAGCUAAGGUCCCAAAGUCAUGGUUAAGUGGGAAACGAUGUGGGAAGGCCCAGACAGCCAGGAUGUUGGCUUAGAAGCAGCCAUCAUUUAAAGAAAGCGUAAUAGCUCACUGGUCGAGUCGGCCUGCGCGGAAGAUGUAACGGGGCUAAACCAUGCACCGAAGCUGCGGCAGCGAACGUAUCACCCAAGACAACUUUACGGAGUUGACGAUUGACGGAGCGAAGCGACGUCAAAGCGUUCAUUAAAGUCGAGUUGGCUUAGGGAUACGUUCGUUGGGUAGGGGAGCGUUCUGUAAGCCUGUGAAGGUGUGUCGUGAGGCAUGCUGGAGGUAUCAGAAGUGCGAAUGCUGACAUAAGUAACGAUAAAGCGGGUGAAAAGCCCGCUCGCCGGAAGACCAAGGGUUCCUGUCCAACGUUAAUCGGGGCAGGGUGAGUCGACCCCUAAGGCGAGGCCGAAAGGCGUAGUCGAUGGGAAACGGGUUAAUAUUCCCGUACUUGGUGUUACUGCGAAGGGGGGACGGAGAAGGCUAUGUUGGCCGGGCGACGGUUGUCCCGGUUUAAGCGUGUAGGUGUGUGUUCCAGGUAAAUCCGGUUCACUUUAACACUGAGGCGUGACGACGAGGCACUACGGUGCUGAAGCAACAAAUGCCCUGCUUCCAGGAAAAGCCUCUAAGCAUCAGGUAACAUCAAAUCGUACCCCAAACCGACACAGGUGGUCAGGUAGAGAAUACCAAGGCGCUUGAGAGAACUCGGGUGAAGGAACUAGGCAAAAUGGUGCCGUAACUUCGGGAGAAGGCACGCUGACACGUAGGUGAAGUGAUUUACUCAUGGAGCUGAAGUCAGUCGAAGAUACCAGCUGGCUGCAACUGUUUAUUAAAAACACAGCACUGUGCAAACACGAAAGUGGACGUAUACGGUGUGACGCCUGCCCGGUGCCGGAAGGUUAAUUGAUGGGGUCAGCGCAAGCGAAGCUCCUGAUCGAAGCCCCGGUAAACGGCGGCCGUAACUAUAACGGUCCUAAGGUAGCGAAAUUCCUUGUCGGGUAAGUUCCGACCUGCACGAAUGGCGUAAUGAUGGCCAGGCUGUCUCCACCCGAGACUCAGUGAAAUUGAACUCGCUGUGAAGAUGCAGUGUACCCGCGGCAAGACGGAAAGACCCCGUGAACCUUUACUAUAGCUUGACACUGAACAUUGAGCCUUGAUGUGUAGGAUAGGUGGGAGGCUUUGAAGUGUGGACGCCAGUCUGCAUGGAGCCGACCUUGAAAUACCACCCUUUAAUGUUU
rnacentral:rRNA from 1 species